rnacentral:lncRNA from 12 species
GAACAUUGAGACGGGAGUUUUGGGGAACAUGGCCCAGGUCGUAACAAGAAACAGGCUCAUGCUUCCUUAUGACAAGGGGGUUGGGGGCACCGCCAGGCACAGGGCUCCGUGGGCCCCAGCCAUCCGCGGUGCUGCCAAGGCCAGAGGCCCUCGGUCUGUUCACCUGUAAAGUGUGAACCAGACGCUUCACAGCCCGCGGUUGAGCCGCCGGUUCAGCGUCUGAGAUGGCCCCGGAGGAAGGGCUUACCCGGAGCACGGCAUUCCGUGUCCCCACUGCGAAUCGCCUCCGGAGGCCAGACACAGAUGCACCGACUUGGCAUCCGUGCAGCCGGUGCAAGACGCUUCUUGGCUGGAUUAUUGACCUAAAUCCCCGUUGAAGCUAAUUUUACUAGACGGAAACAUGGACGAGUGACCCGCCUCGCAGUGGUGGGAGACACGCGGACUCCUUCCUGCUUGUCGCAGCCCGGGGUGUUUGACUCCUUCUUGGGGGAAAAAAAAAAAAACAAGAUUGGAUUUGGGAGGAAAGCAGACCCGGCGGGAGACGUGCUUCCCGGUUGCACGGCCGAGGCCGACAGCUGUGCCUCCUCCGUGCGCAUCGGGCCCUUCUCAAGGGCAGACAAGCCGUGCAAGCUCCGACAGGUGCGCGUGCUCGCACGCGGUCGCGGCCGGGAGUGGUGUGAGGCCCAGUCCCUGGCUCACUCUGCAGGCGGAGCUGGAUCAGCCGCGAACCCAGUUUCUGGGUUAGAUUGUGCGGUGCAAGGGGGCUUUCAAGCUUCCAGGAGGGAAAGGAAGCCUCUAAGAGGAGCCUGGGUGUGCAGAAAGCUGUCGGUUCCCAGCGGAGGGGUGGAUGACGGCCUCGGCGGGCGCCCAGCGGCAGGAUUUAAAGCAGCUGUUUAUGGGACGCCUGGGUGGCUCAGCGGUUGAGCAUCUCCGGGAGUCCCGGGAUCGAGUCCUGCAUCGGGCUCCUGCAUGGAGCCUGCUUCUCCCUCUGCCUGUGUUUCUGCCUCCCUCUCUGUGUC